rnacentral:rRNA from 1 species
GAUGAACGUUGGCGGCGUGCCUAACACAUGCAAGUCGAACGGACCCAAUUCUUCGGAUGAGGGUUAGUGGCAAACGGGUGAGUAACACGUAGGUGACCUGCCCCGAAGUGGGGGAUAACAACUGGAAACGGUUGCUAAUACCGCAUGUGCUCGAUGAUUCAUUUCGUCGAGUAAAGUUCCGGCGCUUCGGGAGGGGCCUGCGUCCCAUCAGCUAGUUGGUAAGGUAAUGGCUUACCAAGGCUAUGACGGGUAGGGGACCUGAGAGGGUGGCCCCCCACAAUGGAACUGAAACACGGUCCAUACACCUACGGGUGGCAGCAGUAGGGAAUAUUAGUAAUGGGCGAAAGCCUGAACUAGCAACACCGCGUGUGCGAAGAAGGCCUUCGGGUUGUAAAGCACUUUUCGGGAGGAUGAGGAAGGACGGUACUCCCGGAAUAAGUCUCGGCUAACUACGUGCCAGCAGCCGCCGUAAGAC